GUUUCUCUCUGUUGCUCAGGCUGGAGUGCAGUUCUACAAUCAGGGCUCACUGCAGCCUCUGCCUCCUGGGCUCAAGUGAUCUCCCACCUCAGCCUCCAGAGUAGCUGCUACAGGCAUGUGCCACCCCACAGCAGGCUAAUUAAAAAAAAAAUGUAGAGAUGGUGUCUCCCUGUGUUGCCCAGGCUGAUCUCCAACUCCUGUUCUCAAGCAGUACCUCCCUCUUGGCCUCCAAAGUGCUUGGAUUACAAACGCGAGCCACCACAUUGGACUUCAACAUUGCCUUGUGCAAACAUUUUACUAUCAAAGAUGUGCUUAAAAUAAAGAUCUUCAAAUAGGGAGAGUGACUUUGAUCAUCUUGGUAGUCCCUACAUCCAAUCACAUGUACCUUUAAAAGACAGAGGCAUAGAAAGACUUGACACAUAUAAAAGGAGAGGAUUUGUUUAUUAUCUUCAGGAAAUCAGAUUUCUCCCCCUCUGGCAAAAGAAAAGGAAAAUGUAUAAGUACAAAACCUCUUGAGAACCUUUCUGGAAUCAAUAGCCACAGAUGCGUCUGUUACUUGUGUUUUUCACAGGCAAGCCCUCUAGCUGGCUCAAUAAACCUCAAUUGAUUGGGACAACUGCCUCGGUCACUCAAUUUGGUUGUCGAAUUGAUACCACUACACCCUUACCAGGUAAUUAAAAAGGCUGAAAUCAUCGAACAUGUUGAGAAUUGAAA
rnacentral:lncRNA from 10 species